ACUUAUAAAUUAAAAUAUAUUUAUCUAUACUCAGUUAUUAAAUAAUAUAAUGGAUCUUUUAUUUUUUUGUAGCAACGUCGAUUGGUAUCUCUAUAUAACGACGUGUAUCUAUAGCGGUUAUUGUGUUGUAUUUGAAAAAGUCGAAAUCACUCUAUCGUUAACGUUUUAAUACUUAUGUAUAAUGCUCGUAUAGCGAAUGAUUAAUUAUUUUGAGUCAGUGCUGGGAAACGAAUGAACCCCAUUAAGCCGCUUUGACGAAGGUUUUGUAUAGCUGUCCUAAUGGUUUUUAUGUUAAUUUUACUGUGUAGAGGUAGACUUUAGAGAGUUUACAGAGUGUCUCGCCUGGUAUGUCCCAGCAAAAUGUCUCCGUUAUUUCAAACACCGAUUUUCAGAAAUAAUGCUAAGGGAAUACCAAGUGGAAAAAAAUGAUAUUUAGUCCGCAAAACUAGACAAAUCUGUAUAGGGUUUGGGUUUGACGGAUUUAAAUUUUGAAAGUGGAUUUGGAUUGGUUAACAAGUUUACUAGGUAUUUUUUAUAACCGGACAAUUGCAUGUAUAUGUGUUAUGAUGAAGAAUAUAAUUAUUAGAAAACUACUACACUCGUAUUUUGUUCAUCGAUAUCAUUUAACUGGUCAUUAAGUUAACAAAAUAUGCGGGUAUUGCCAAUAGGCCUCUUCCUCCAAUCAUGUUACUCAUGUCAUUAUUUUCAUCAUUUAUCAUUUACUUAUUAUUUCCUUGUACGGAUUGUAAAUUUCUUAUUUCUUAUUUCUUGAAUAAAAAAAAAAAAUAAUAAUCAUUAAUUUCAUAAAUUAGAAAACUGUUGUUAAUUAAUCGAAAUCUGUUUUCAAUUUAAAAUCUAAUUUUACCCAAUCCUUAAAUUUUUUUUGUGUUGUUUUUCAGUCUAAAACGUCAUAAUUGUCCAUUAAAAUGGAUUUCCCCUUAUAACUAUCGAGCAGUAAAUUAGUGGAAAAGUCGCAUUAUUAUGGUAGUCGAUAAAAUUUUUCGAAAUUGAAAUAAUUUUGAUAGCCGAUUCUAAACCCCUUUAUUUUAUCGGAGGUACCAAGGCAUAUUGUUUAUUUUUUAAAACUGUCAGUAAAUUUGAAAUUAAUAUUAACAAUAGUUUUGCGUGCUUUUUAUGGA